UGCUAUCUGCCUGGUGGAACCCCCCCGCAACAAACCAUGUAACUGAUGAAGAGCACGAGGAAAGUGCAUCUGCUGCCUUUACAGAGGGGGAUCCAGAAAGGCCUACAGAGGGCAUGGCUGGGCAGCAGCAGGAGGGUUCCUCAACUUCCACUGCAUAGAUUGACACAGUGAGAUGAACGUUCAGUAAACACCAGAGAUUCAUUCUGUGGAAUUCAUGUGCAACUGUAUAAUGUCCUCCUAUAUGUAUUCCCAGUUACCAGUCAAAGACAUUUACAAAAUUCACCUGCUGAAAAAAAUAAAAAAACAACUGACAAAGAAAUGCAGUAUUUGGACCGCCAGAUCAGGAGGGCUGACCUAGAAAUUGAAAUACUGGAGCACAAGUUAGAGGUAGGUGCAUGGUCACAGAAUUAUGUUAAUUAUUUUAACUAUUGGAACAUCAACUAAACUAGCUAUUGUAUUUGGUGGUGGUGGUGGUGGUGACUCAAUCACUAAAGUGAUGUUGGCAUAUGGUGUCUCUGACCGCUCUGCAUGCAGUUGCCUUGCUCAAGUGCAGCACAAUACACAAUAUCUGCUGGGAUGUGAGGGCAUGACUUCGGUUGGUAAUGUUGGAAAUGUAAGGACGGAUUAGGUUGUGUAUGUAAAUGAUGGACUGUGAAGUGAAACAGUACCGCUCAAAAAGAUAAGUGUCUGGAAAUGCAAGAACAUCUAUGUGUUGUCUGAUAAUCACCUCCCGACGAAUAUUUAAUUCUCUCUACGCAGUAUUGCUGCAGCUUCAUCCACGGGAUCAUUGUCAAAAGGACAUGCCAUGGUAGUCGCCACCUAAUAUAACUACUAAUGUAGGCCUACUGACUGAUUUUUGCAAUGAUUUUCUCAAAAAACAGAUGGCAGAACUAUACUACGCGAAAAGUUACCUGCUGACUGAAUAUAUGAGGAAAUCAAAUACCAUGUGUGGCUGAAAGAGGGCGGAGACAGAGAGAAACUCGAGGUUUGUUGAGAAAAAUCUGGUCCCGACCAGGUUAGGUUCGUAGAGUAUGUUACCAUGGUAACUGACCGAGAGCUUAAGUUACCUCUCUCUGUGAAACAGGCUGGAGUUCCCCCUCUUUCUCUGGUUUGAGUUACCUCCCUUUGUGAAGCGGAAAACUCAGAGUUUCCCUCAUUUCAGGGUUAACAGACUCAAGAGUUUUCACUAAACCUGCUUCACGAAAUGAAUCCCUGCUGCUAUUGGAGUUUGUUGUGUUUUGUUUUUUUUCCUUAUCAAACUAUUUAGAGCUACUACUAGAGCUGGACUCUCUGGUGACUGUGGCAGAGAGAAGGACCCUGGACAAACUGCUAUCCAUACUGGACAACACCCACCACCCUCUGCACAACACCU